rnacentral:lncRNA from 10 species
GUCCCGGUGUAUCCGCAGCGCGCCCUGGCUGCCCCCUGGUGGCCGGAGGCCGUUACUGUCGCGGCUGAGGGGGCGUCCCGGUGUAUCCGCAGCGCGCCCUGUCCCGCCAUAUACAUUCCGUGCUUUUCAAACACCCGCCGUGGGCUAAGCAUGGGACCCACGUGGGGCGGGGACACACGGCGAUAAAGAGCCAGGCCCUCGCUGCCAAGGAGCUUUCCCGUAACACCGAUGCAUCAAACAAAAGGUAGUAAAAGUGCCUGGGUUUUUGCGUUGAAAUAUCUUUCCCUUCAACUCCCCACAAGGUGCUUUUACUCCCCGUCAUCACCACCGCCUGCCAGAGGCAGUAAACUUGGGUCCAGCGGGCCCCUGUCAAGCUGCAUAACCACACAGUGAGAGGCUGUCUAGAGAAAGGCGUUUGUUCAGGAGCAGAGCGUUGCAACGGUAACACGCAUGUCAUAGUAAACUGUGCAUAUUCGAGGAGGCAGAGGAAGAAAGGAAGAGGAAGGUUUUCAAAGAGAAAGCAGCAGUGAGGAUGCCAGAGUUCAUGGGUUUCUAGAAGACAAGUUUUCAACUGCAGAUACAAACAUCAGGACGUCAAUGUAUCUGCUAGGAGACACCCGGACAGUGUUGAGAACACAGAACCUGGAGGCUAAACCCCCAGCUUUCUAUGCCAGCUGAGAGUCUGUGGGCACAUUACUCAGCGUCUCUGAACCUCAUGCUCCUCCCCUGUGACAUGUAGAUUGCUAAACCCAUCUCACAGGGCUAUCUUCUGCAUUUAAAGAAUAAAAUAACACAUGAGGG